AUUGAACGCUGGCGGCAGGCCUAACACAUGCAAGUCGAGCGGCAGCGGAAAGUAGCUUGCUACUUUGCCGGCGAGCGGCGGACGGGUGAGUAAUGUCUGGGAAACUGCCUGAUGGAGGGGGAUAACUACUGGAAACGGUAGCUAAUACCGCAUGACCUCGAAAGAGCAAAGUGGGGGAUCUUCGGACCUCACGCCAUCGGAUGUGCCCAGAUGGGAUUAGCUAGUAGGUGAGGUAAUGGCUCACCUAGGCGACGAUCCCUAGCUGGUCUGAGAGGAUGACCAGCCACACUGGAACUGAGACACGGUCCAGACUCCUACGGGAGGCAGCAGUGGGGAAUAUUGCACAAUGGGCGCAAGCCUGAUGCAGCCAUGCCGCGUGUGUGAAGAAGGCCUUAGGGUUGUAAAGCACUUUCAGCGAGGAGGAAGGCAUCACACUUAAUACGUGUGGUGAUUGACGUUACUCGCAGAAGAAGCACCGGCUAACUCCGUGCCAGCAGCCGCGGUAAUACGGAGGGUGCAAGCGUUAAUCGGAAUUACUGGGCGUAAAGCGCACGCAGGCGGUUUGUUAAGUCAGAUGUGAAAUCCCCGCGCUUAACGUGGGAACUGCAUUUGAAACUGGCAAGCUAGAGUCUUGUAGAGGGGGGUAGAAUUCCAGGUGUAGCGGUGAAAUGCGUAGAGAUCUGGAGGAAUACCGGUGGCGAAAGCGGCCCCCUGGACAAAGACUGACGCUCAGUGCGAAAGCGUGGGGAGCAAACAGG
rnacentral:rRNA from 1 species